GUCAUUUAAAUGAAUUAAUUUUGUCUUAUGCAGGGCAGAUGUGGAAAUGAAUGUUGUAUCUGGAGCAGUGAUGCGAGCAGCUUGGGUCAGAAGAGCUACGAGGAGCAGUUGCAAAUCCAGGCCAUGUGCUACAAUCAGCAUUCCCAGAAUGAUGCAAGACAACUUUGGUCACAUGAGCUGGGAGAAGUGAUUGCAGUGUCUUGAACUUUGAGGUCCUGUGCUGCAAUAGGCAUCGACAGAAUGGCAAUUUUGACAACCUGGGCCAGAUGAUUAAUGCACAUCAGCUGCAGAUUGAGAUGGAAGUGCUUCAAGAUUGUUUUCGGACCAAAUGAGUUGCUACAUGAUAUUGUAUAGGUCCAAGAUUCAGGAGGCACUUGGAAUGAACAUGAUGACAGGGUAUCAGUCGCAACCAAGAAUUCAAAUGUUCAAGACACCCAACAACUUUCAUUGUUGCAAGAUUGAGAAUAAUUUGCUUUUGAACCUGCAAAGUGUACUAAAUAAAAAUUUUUAAUUUUUUUGAA